rnacentral:rRNA from 1 species
CUACGGGAGGCUCCAGUGGGGAAUCUUAGACAAUGGGCGCAAGCCUGAUCUAGCCAUGCCGCGUGAGUGAUGAAGGCCUUUGGGUCGUAAAGCUCUUUCGCUGGGGAAGAUAAUGACGGUACCCAGUAAAGAAACCCCGGCUAACUCCGUGCCAGCAGCCGCGGUAAUACGGAGGGGGUUAGCGCUGUUCGGAAUUACUGGGCGUAAAGCGCGCGUAGGCGGACUGUUAAGUCGGGGGUGAAAUCCCGGGGCUCAACCCCGGAACGGCCUUCGAUACUGGCAGUCUGGAGUGCGAGAGAGGUGAGUGGAAUUCCGAGUGUAGAGGUGAAAUUCGUAGAUAUUCGGAGGAACACCAGUGGCGAAGGCGGCUCACUGGCUCGAUACUGACGCUGAGGUGCGAAAGUGUGGGGAGCAAACAGGAUUAGAUACCCUCGUAGUC